rnacentral:rRNA from 1 species
UGGGGAAUAUUGCGCAAUGGGCGAAAGCCUGACGCAGCGACGCCGCGUGGGUGAUGAAGGUCUUCGGGUCGUAAAGCCCUGUCGGGAGGGACGAAACCUCGGUGACCUAAUACGUCACCGACCUGACGGUACCUCUUAAGGAAGCACCGGCUAACUACGUGCCAGCAGCCGCGGUAAUACGUAGGGUGCGAGCGUUAAUCGGAAUUACUGGGCGUAAAGCGUGCGCAGGCGGUUUUGUAAGACAGAGGUGAAAUCCCCGGGCUCAACCUGGGAACUGCCUUUGUGACUGCAAGGCUGGAGUGCGGCAGAGGGGGAUGGAAUUCCGCGUGUAGCAGUGAAAUGCGUAGAUAUGCGGAGGAACACCGAUGGCGAAGGCAAUCCCCUGGGCCUGCACUGACGCUCAUGCACGAAAGCGUGGGGAGCAAACA